rnacentral:rRNA from 1 species
GACGAACGCUGGCGGCAUGCCUAAUACAUGCAAGUCGAACGCAGUGGGGACGGGUGAGUAACACGUGGGUAACCUCCCAUCAGAGGGGAUAACACUUGGAUACAGGUGCUAAACCGAUACGGAUGUAUGGACCCGCGGUGCAUUAGCUAGUUGGUGCGGUAAAGGCUAACCAAGUCCACGAUGCAUAGCCGACCUGAGAGGGUGAUCGGCCACACGGGGACUGAGACACGGCCCAGACUCCUACGGGAGGCAGCAGUAGGGAAUCUUCGGCAAUGGACGAAAGUCUGACCGAGCAACGCCGCGUGAGUGAAGAAGGGUUUCGGAUCGUAAAGCUCUGUUGUUAGGGAAGCGUUAUCUAACCAGAAAGCAACGGCUAACUACGUGCCAGCCGCCGCGGUAAUAC